UCUCCCCUCUCUUGCACCAACUUUCUCCAUGCCUACCUUCUCUUUAUGAUGCCUCCUUUGUGCAUGGUUUCCUCAUCUCCAUGCAGAAAAUAAGGGACUCUUGGAUGCCCCAUAGUUUCUUUGUUUGACUAGGUCUUUUGACCUAGUGUACCUUAUAUAUUAGUGCCUCCUAUAUGAUGAUUUGAGAGAGUCAAAAAAAUUUGUGGUUUUUUCAUAGAAAAAGUAGAGAAGAAAGAGAUUGGCAUGGGUGUUUUGAGGCAUCAAUUUUCUUGGAGGAGAGUCUUCUAUCAAGACAUCAAAAGUUAAUGUCUUGUAGAGACAAAAGGUAAGAGAAAAGAUUAUCUUCUCUUAUUAUUUUUCUUUCAGUUUAUUUUCUCUUUACUUUUAUAUUUUUAUGUGAUAAAAAUUUGAUAGAGAAAGAGGGAUGGC
rnacentral:lncRNA from 1 species